UUGAAACACCUGCUCACGUACGAUCACCGAAGUUAAGCAAUGUCAAGCCUGGCCAGUACCUAGAUGGAUGACCGCUUGGGACUACCAGGUGAUGUAAG